rnacentral:misc_RNA from 1 species
AAUUCUCAACCCCUUCAGCUUUGUGUUGAACUUGGGGCUUGGAUGUGGAGGUGUUGUUGGCUUUUUACAAGGUCAACUCCUCUGAAAUGCAUUAGCGGAACUGUUUGCGAUCCGUCACAGGUGUGAUAAUUAUCUAUGCCAGUGGAUUGCUCUCUGUUGUUCAGCUGCCAACUGUCCUUGUGGACAACCAAUACUGAUU